GAUGAACGCUGGCGGCGUGCCUAAUACAUGCAAGUCGAGCGAACGGACGAGAAGCUUGCUUCUCUGAUGUUAGCGGCGGACGGGUGAGUAACACGUGGAUAACCUACCUAUAAGACUGGGAUAACUUCGGGAAACCGGAGCUAAUACCGGAUAAUAUUUUGAACCGCAUGGUUCAAAAGUUAAAGACGGUCUUGCUGUCACUUAUAGGUGGAUCCGCGCUGCAUUAGCUAGUUGGUAAGGUAACGGCUUACCAAGGCAACGAUGCAUAGCCGACCUGAGAGGGUGAUCCGCCACACUGGAACUGAGACACGGUCCAGACUCCUACGGGAGGCAGCAGUAGGGAAUCUUCCGCAAUGGGCGAAAGCCUGACGGAGCAACGCCGCGUGAGUGAUGAAGGUCUUCGGAUCGUAAAACUCUGUUAUUAGGGAAGAACAUAUGUGUAAGUAACAGUGCACAUCUUGACGGUACCUAAUCAGAAAGCCACGGCUAACUACGUG
rnacentral:rRNA from 1 species